rnacentral:rRNA from 1 species
AUUGAACGCUGGCGGCAUGCCUUACACAUGCAAGUCGAACGGCAGCACGGGGGCAACCCUGGUGGCGAGUGGCGAACGGGUGAGUAACAUAUCGGAACAUACCCUAGAGUGGGGGAUAACGUAGCGAAAGUUACGCUAAUACCGCAUACGAUCUAAGGAUGAAAGUGGGGGAUCUUCGGACCUCAUGCUCAUGGAGUGGCCGAUAUCUGAUUAGCUAGUUGGUGAGGUAAAGGCUCACCAAGGCGACGAUCAGUAGCUGGUUUGAGAGAACGACCAGCCACACUGGAACCGAGACACGGUCCAGACUCCUACGGGAGGCAGCAGUGGGGAAUUUUGGACAAUGGGGGCAACCCUGAUCCAGCAAUGCCGCGUGAGUGAAGAAGGCCUUCGGGUUGUAAACGUGCUUUUGUUACGGAACGAAACGGGUACUGCUCUAAUAACGGCGGCGUAAUGACGGUACCGUAAGAAUAAGACAACCGGCUAACUACGUGCCAGCAGCC